rnacentral:rRNA from 1 species
GACGAACGCUGGCGGCGUGCUUAACACAUGCAAGUCGAACGGUAAGGCCCCUUCGGGGGUACACGAGUGGCGAACGGGUGAGUAACACGUGGGUGAUCUUCCCUGCACUUCGGGAUAAGCCUGGGAAACUGGGUCUAAUACCGGAUAGGACCACGCUCUGCAUGGAGUGUGGUGGAAAGCUUUUGCGGUGUGGGAUGGGCCCGCGGCCUAUCAGCUUGUUGGUGGGGUGAUGGCCUACCAAGGCGACGACGGGUAGCCGGCCUGAGAGGGUGUCCGGCCACACUGGGACUGAGAUACGGCCCAGACUCCUACGGGAGGCAGCAGUGGGGAAUAUUGCACAAUGGGCGCAAGCCUGAUGCAGCGACGCCGCGUGGGGGAUGACGGCCUUCGGGUUGUAAACCUCUUUCAGUAACGACGAAGCGCAAGUGACGGUAGGUACAGAAGAAGCACCGGCCAACUACGUG